rnacentral:rRNA from 1 species
AACGAACGCUGGCGGCGUGCCUAACACAUGCAAGUCGUGCGAGAAAGUUCCCUUCGGGGAGCUAGUAAAGCGGCGCACGGGUGAGUAACACGUAGGUAAUCUACCUCUAAGUCCGGAAUAACCAGCUGAAAGGCUGGCUAAUACCGCAUAAGACCACAAGAUCUGCGGAACAAGGGGGUAAAUGUUUUUCGCACUAAGAUGAGCCCGCGUAAGAUUAGCUAGUUGGUGAGGUAACGGCUCACCAAGGCGACGAUCUUUAGCUGGUCUGAGAGGAUGAUCAGCCACACUGGAACUGAGACACGGUCCAGACUCCUACGGGAGGCAGCAGUAGGGAAUAUUGCACAAUGGAGGAAACUCUGAUGCAGCGACGCCGCGUGAGCGAUGAAGGCCUUCGGGUUGUAAAGCUCUGUCGCAUGGGAAUAAGACAGUGAAUGUACCAUGCAAGAAAGGAUCGGCUAACUUCGUGCCAGCAGCCGCGGUAAUAC